rnacentral:misc_RNA from 1 species
AUACCUAAAACGUUGCUUCGGCGGGAACAGACGGCCCUGUAACAACGGGCCGCCCCCGCCAGAGGACCCCUAACUCUGUUUUUAUAAUGUUUUUCUGAGUAAACAAGCAAAUAAAUUAAAACUUUCAACAACGGAUCUCUUGGCUCUGGCAUCGAUGAAGAACGCAGCGAAAUGCGAUAAGUAAUGUGAAUUGCAGAAUUCAGUGAAUCAUCGAAUCUUUGAACGCACAUUGCGCCCGCCAGUAUUCUGGCGGGCAUGCCUGUUCGAGCGUCAUUACAACCCUCAGGCCCCCGGGCCUGGCGUUGGGGAUCGGCGGAAGCCCCCUGUGGGCACACGCCGUCCCUCAAAUACAGUGGCGGUCCCGCCGCAGCUUCCAUUGCGUAGUAGCUAACACCUCGCAACUGGAGAGCGGCGCGGCCAUGCCGUAAAACACCCAACUUCUGAAUGUUGACCUCGAAUCAGGUAGGAAUACCCGCUGAACUUAAGCAUAUC